rnacentral:rRNA from 1 species
GACGAACGCUGGCGGCGUGCUUAACACAUGCAAGUCGAACGGAAAGGCCCUGCUUUUGUGGGGUGCUCGAGUGGCGAACGGGUGAGUAACACGCGAGUAACCUGCCCUUGACUUUGGGAUAACUUCAGGAAGCUGGGGCUAAUACCGGAUAGGAGCUCCUGCUGCAUGGUGGGGGUUGGAAAGUUUCGGCGGUUGGGGAUGGACUCGCGGCUUAUCAGCUUGUUGGUGGGGUAGUGGCUUACCAAGGCUUUGACGGGUAGCCGGCCUGAGAGGGUGACCGGCCACAUUGGGACUGAGAUACGGCCCAGACUCCUACGGGAGGCAGCAGUGGGGAAUAUUGCACAAUGGGCGGAAGCCUGAUGCAGCAACGCCGCGUGCGGGAUGACGGCCUUCGGGUUGUAAACCGCUUUCGCCUGUGACGAAGCGUGAGUGACGGUAAUGGGUAAAGAAGCACCGGCUAACUACGUG